rfam:Anaerobacillus sp. NB2006 Ga0137927_1135, whole genome shotgun sequence.
UUCUUCCCAGAAGUAACCGUCCCUGUCGCAUUCGCGAGGUAGAAUUAAGUGUGCUAAAUGGUAAAGGCGCUCUGUAAAGCAGGACCUGGGGGAGUUGGAGAGAGAGUAUAAUCAAACUUCAGC